AUGGAUAAAUAGUCCAUAGAGUUCCCAGUAAUAUUCAUCAUCCGUGGUGGUAUCAGAGUCCGAGUCUGAGUACGCAGCUGGGUCAUCGUGAUAGAUGUCGGGCAGCUCCUGGGGCGAUGAAGCAGCAGAGGACACCUUGCUUCCAGCAGAACUCGAGCUGAAAAGCUCCGUUCUGCUUAUGGAAGGGGUCUCUCCAUCUCGGAAAGCACUUGGGUUGUUAAGAAGACAAGGUCUCCACAAUCGCCCUUCUGUGAGUGACCUCUUGAUAUUUUCCAGGAAAGCCAAUUGUUGUUCUUUGCCAAAUAUACCAAAUUCAACAGAAGGAUACAUCAGAUUCCUUGUACUGUAACACCUGUCCUCGUCCAAUGCCCAGUUUUCAUUUUCAUCACAGGCCAACACCUCUGAGUAAGAUUUACACCUCUUCUCAUGUACACUGUCUUUUGGCAGAAUAUUGCUUCCAGAGGCAAAGGUCUCGUGAGAAUCUUGAGCACAAAUACUUUCAGAAAAGUGACGCUCAUGCUGACUUUUCGCACGAGCCUUGUGCAACAGUUGGCUAUGCAAGUUUGCAUUUCUUAAACUGUUGGAUUCAGAGGCAUUCUGACGCUCAGUAAGCACUGCCUGAGAGGACAAGUUCUGCUUUGGACAUAUGUCUGCCUGCAAGCAAUUAUUUACAAACGUGUUUGAGUUUUUGUCAGCUAAAAGGGAUAAAGGAGGAGUGCAAGCACUGCUGCUAGCUCUUCUUUUCUCAUCAUCUGUUGGGUCCAGUGCAGUAGGGCUGAGUGAGAUGGGCUGGCUUGUAUUUUCUAACCUGAGAUCAGGUGUUUGGGAAUUCUUAUUUCUUGUGGCUAAUGCUUUAUCUGGAGAUACGGCUGUAAGACUUGGCCUAUUUUCCACUUUCGCUGUAGGUUUUUUGGAACUGGUGGCGUCCUUCUGGGUGUAUGAACUUUUAAGAGACCUCCAAUUUAAGUUGUUAACAAGUAAAGAAGGAUCAUUCACAUUUUCAGUCUUAUUAAUCUCAGCUGGUUUUGGUAUUUGUGUAUUCUUGUCAGAGUGCGGACUGUCAUUCUGAUUUUCGGUUUCAGACUGCAGAAGUGACUGACGGCAAUCUGCUGAACUCAGUGAGUCAGGGGACAUGCUCACCUCUGAACAAGUGGCACUUCCAUCAUUCUGUGAAAAAAUAUUACUUAUGUGUGGCUUGGGAGGUAAAUUUUUACUUGAAAAUUUUCGACUUGUUUUGCAAACAGCUGCCAGUUUAUUUUUAAUUGAAGGCCUGUUUUUCCUUUUUUCUAUAUCUUUGAUUUUGUCUCUUGUGCAAUCGGAGAGAAGCUUGUUCUCAUUUUCUACAUUCUGUGUUAAUUUUUGGUCUGGUGUAGCCCUCGAGACUUUGUCUUUACUGCUAACGUCCAGGCUGCCCUCACUGUGCUUCCUUAAUGCCUGCAAACCACUACAGCCUUUAUCCAUUUGAGUACUCUGCAAGUUUUGCUCCUUUUUAAUUUUAGAAUUCUUUAACUGACCUGUAUCUGCACUAACCACUUCAUCUGGCUGAAGAAGUGCAUCAGCAUUGGAAGCCCUGCGUAUCUCAAAUGCUUUCUUCUGAGAUUCAGAAAGCAUUUUGCUACAAGGGCUUACAUUGUUCAUGUUAUUUCUUGAACUGCCAGCUCUUAGCUGCAGUCUGCUGCUUUUGUUAUUAUACAGAGGGGUGGUUUGGUGUGGGAAAUUUACUCCCUGUUUCACUUUGGUACUACCCCUGCCUUUGUCCUCCCUGGGCGGCAGUGGCACAUCAGCACACUCUGUGUGGAUCCUUCCCACACGAGAACCCUUCUCUCUCGUGUGGAGAAGCAAACUGUUCUGAUUUUUAUUCGUACUUACUGGAGCAGGCUGAGAGCAGUUUGCAGAGUUUCCCUUCUGUACGCUAUUCUUACUUGUUGAAGCAGAAUAAAUGGGAUUCCCUAAA
rnacentral:lncRNA from 1 species